CGUAGGGUGCGAGCGUUAAUCGGAAUUACUGGGCGUAAAGCGUGCGUAGGCGGCCCCGCAAGUCCGCUGUGAAAGCCCCGGGCUUAACCUGGGAAUGGCAGUGGAAACUAUGGGACUUGAAUCCGGCAGAGGGGGUGGAAUGCCAGGUGUAGCAGUGAAAUGCGUAGAGAUCUGGCGGAACACCGAUGGCGAAGGCAGCCCCCUGGGCCGAGAUUGACGCUCAGGCACGAAAGCGUGGGGAGCAAACAGGAUUAGAUACCCUGGUAGUCCACGCCCUAAACGGUGAUCACUAGGUGUUGGGGAAGCGAUUUCCUAGUACCGCAGCUAACGCGUGAAGUGAUCCGCCUGGGGAGUACGGUCGCAAGAUUA
rnacentral:rRNA from 1 species